rnacentral:rRNA from 1 species
AGAGUUUGAUCAUGGCUCAGAACGAACGCUGGCGGCGUGGAUAAGACAUGCAAGUCGAGCGGGAAUUUUUUUGGUAGCAAUACCGAGAAAGUUCUAGCGGCGAACGGGUGCGUAACACGUGGGCAAUCUGCCUUAAAGUGGGGGAUAGCUCGGCGAAAGCCGAAUUAAUACCGCAUGCGAUUAGCGGAGACAUCUUCGCGAAAUCAAAGCCGGGGCAACCUGGCGCUUUUUGAGGAGCCCGCGGCCUAUCAGCUUGUUGGUGAGGUACCGGCUCACCAAGGCUAUGACGGGUAGCUGGUCUGAGAGGACGACCAGUCACACUGGAACUGAGACACGGUCCAGACACCUACGGGUGGCAGCAGUCGAGAAUUUUUGACAAUGGGGGAAACCCUGAUCGAGCGACGCCGCGUGGAGGAUGAAGGUCUUCGGGUUGUAAACUCCUGUCAUUUGGGAACAAUGCGCAUUUAUUAACUGUAGAUGCGUUGAUAGUACCAGAAGAGGAAGGGACGGCUAACUCUGUGCCAGCAGCCGCGGUAAUACAGAGGUCUCAAGCGUUGUUCGGAUUCAUUGGGCGUAAAGGGUGCGUAGGUGGCGCGCUAAGUCGGGUGUGAAAUCCCGGGGCUUAACCUCGGGACUGCAUUCGAUACUGGCGUGCUUGAGGACUGGAGAGGAGACUGGAAUUCAUGGUGUAGCAGUGAAAUGCGUAGAGAUCAUGAGGAAGACCAGUGGCGAAGGCGGGUCUCUGGACAGUUCCUGACACUGAGGCACGAAGGCCAGGGGAGCAAACGGGAUUAGAUACCCCCGUAGUCC